rnacentral:tmRNA from 1 species
CCCCUUUGCGAACCGGGACGCAGGCCCUAUAUUCGCUUUGCCGUCGCAAGGCGGAUAUGGCGAUAAAUGGACUCCGUAAUAAGCUAUCCGGACCCGGGGGCGGUACCCGGCGCCUCCACCAGAGCCCGUUCGACGAGCGGGUUGUGGCGGGGGCGAAAUAGGAUCGACGGGGGUGUAAAGGGUGCUCUUUCGCUCGGCAUGAUACCGCCGUUAUCGGGUCAAACCUUAUAGUUGCCAAUGACAACUAUGCUCCGGUGGCCGUCGCUGCUUAAUGCAGUGCCAGUACUGGGAAUCAAGUCCUAAGGGGUUGCACUCUUAGGCGGGGCUCGGAGGCGCCUGGCAACAGAAGCCUCCACU